UCUCCGUAGGUGAGCCUGCGGAGGGAUCAUUACUGAGUGAGGGCCUUCGGGCUCGACCUCCAACCCUUUGUGAACACAACUUGUUGCUUCGGGGGCGACCCUGCCGGCACUCUGUCGCCGGGCGCCCCCGGAGGCCUUCAAACACUGCAUCUUUGCGUCGGAGUUUAAGUAAAUUAAACAAAACUUUCAACAACGGAUCUCUUGGUUCUGGCAUCGAUGAAGAACGCAGC
rnacentral:misc_RNA from 1 species